rnacentral:rRNA from 1 species
CCUACGGGGGGCUGCAGUGGGGAAUAUUGGACAAUGGGGGCAACCCUGAUCCAGCCAUGCCGCGUGUGUGAAGAAGGCCCUCGGGUUGUAAAGCACUUUCAGUGAGGAAGAACGCCUGGUGGUUAAUACCCAUCAGGAAAGACAUCACUCACAGAAGAAGCACCGACUAACUCCGUGCCAGCAGCCGCGGUAAUACGGAGGGUGCGAGCGUUAAUCGGAAUUACUGGGCGUAAAGCGCGCGUAGGUGGCUUGAUAAGCCGGUUGUGAAAGCCCCGGGCUCAACCUGGGAACGGCAUCCGGAACUGUCAAGCUAGAGUGCAGGAGAGGAAGGUAGAAUUCCCGGUGUAGCGGUGAAAUGCGUAGAGAUCGGGAGGAAUACCAGUGGCGAAGGCGGCCUUCUGGACUGACACUGACACUGAGGUGCGAAAGCGUGGGUAGCAAACAGGAUUAGAUACCCCGGUAGUC